rnacentral:lncRNA from 1 species
AUCAUGCAGAACCUAGUGUACAGGGAUUGAUAUCUAUGUAUGUACCACUUGAUGAAUGGUUCACUUGUUGUUGAUGUUUGUAAAUUAGAAGAUGCCCAGGUUGGCAAAUUAGAAGAAAAAUGUGUCAUCACUUGUGGCAACUUCUGACCCUUUUUUCCUCAAUUCUCUCUCUUUUUUUUAACCCCUUUUGUUAUGCCUUGUCUUCAAGCUCCGAUUGUUUUUAACCCCUUUUGUUAUGCCUUGUCUCCAAGCUCCUAUUGUACUUCCAUCAUAAUAGCAAAUAACUUUUUACUGCUAUCAAUUUAGAUGAAGUUCAAGUUGUUGUGACUUGUGACAUUUGUAAUGUUGACAUAAUGAAAAAAAUGAUAUCAAAUAUCAAUGGAAACUUUGUUAUGAUUCUGAUAUGUCAUUCAUUAGAUGCAUGAAAUUAUUUUUACUAGAGGUAAACCUGUUCAUUGUGCAUGUGCUUAUUAUGUAGUUUUUAUAUUCCAGGGCCACUUGGAUGAACAAAUUUGGUUAGGUGUGAAGGUUGUUUUGAUAAAUCAUUAUAACUAGAUAAAAUGUAAAUAGAAUAGUCGUCAUAAAUUACGAAGAGUAACUAUAUGAAAUUUGUGCUAGAAUAUAUAUGAUAUGUCCGUUGAGAAACGGAUGGAGGCAACCAUGGCGGAAAGUGCUCUGGUACAGUGGCGAUGAGUCUUCAUGGUGGAACGAAAGGUGUCUGCAGACACGUUAGCGCUCCAAUGCUCAAAUCAGUGUAGGAAAUGAGAUGGAAUUUGUGAAAAGUGUGGGAAAAGUGAAUCAUACCUUGGGGUGAAGCUAAGUCACCCUUAAAUAGGCGUGUAUGAGAAUAACCGUCUCUGUGAAGUGCGGCGCUUCAUCAGGAGGCCGUUGGGAGAUGUGUAAGGUGUUUGAUGCACGGAGACGUGCUUAGGUGGAGUGGCGUGCACCAAAGUUAGGGUGUUUGUCCAAGUGACACGCGUUGCUCUGGCGUGUUACUUGUCCACGUGUCAGCGUUGGAUUGGAUUUAUAGCGGGUCCAGAACAAUAUAUAAAGAGAGAUAGUUAGGAUCAGUUGACAACAGGUGUCACCAAAUCCCAAGGGUUGUUUCAAUUUAAUUUAAAGGCUUCAAUUUAUUCAUUUCACAAUGUUACCUGACACUUUCAUCGUUCUUUUUACACUUUCAUCAUUCUUUUUACACUCUCUCCCCUUUUAUUUUGGAAAUCCACCACUGUCAAAAUAAAGGAAUAUAUAAAGAAUGAUGAAUAAUUGAGUGUAAUUGUUGAUUUUAAAGUUCAAUAUAACAUUAAUUAUUUAUUUUUCCAUAGUACCAUUAACUACUUAUUAAAGGGAGAAAUAACCCUAGAGCGCUUAGACGAGAUGACACGCGUCUCUUCAAAUUUAACCAAGGUCCUGAGUUCGAAUCCAACCUUGGGCAUGCAACAACGUUAAAAUUCUUAGGGAGAGUUUGCUGCCCAUUUGAGUCCCACAGGGCUCCAUUCUUGAGGAGAGUUUGCCGCCAAUUUAGGUCCAUAAGGCUCAAGAGAUUAGUAUCUGCAAGGGAGAAAUAGACUGAAUAGGAUAGUAAAUGAUCAAAUGUAAUAUAGGUAAAAUAUAAAUAACAGUAAAAAGGAAGUAUAAUAAUUUAACAAAGUAAAGUGUUAACUAAUGAGUAAACCACUAAAUUGAUCCAUGUAUUUUUAAGUCACUCUCAAAUUAGUCUCCAAUUCUAUUAAUAUUUCAAAAUAGUCUUUGAUCACAAGCUGUUUUAUUUUUCUCGUCCUGCGACAAAUCGGCCACCAAGUUUGCAAAAUCGGCCACCGAUUUUUCACGAGACAAAAGUAUCCAAAACCAGGUCAAAAUCGGCAACUGUGGUACAAAUCGGCCACCGAUUUUGACAGACAUAAUGCACAUUUUUGAGUCACUUUUUAACAUAUACCAUUGAUCAUAACUUCAUAAGAUAGGAGUAUGUGCCAAUUGCAAUUGGCAAACAAUUUAUUUACUAUUUUAGUCAAACGAAUUUUCACUUUUGAGGAAUCAACAUUGAAUUAUGAAAUGUUGAAAUGAUAUAAAACAUUGAAUUAUGAUCCAUGUGUGCUGUUUUGAUAAACAUGUUGCCUUUAGUUAAUUAAACUUGUCCAAUAAAGCAUAGACUCUUGAACAUGGAUCCUAGCUUAGAGCUAAUUGGUUCACAUUUCAAAGAUUCAUGCUUGUGUUCUUCUUGCACAACGUCAAAUGAAAUGUUUCAUAGUCUUUCCAUUCAUUUCUCUUAAUCUUAUCAUUUUUUGUGGAUAUUUUUUUAGAGGCACCACUCUCUUGAUUCGCCCAAGGCAUCCAAAUUUAAAGGGUCGGCCCUGUACUUACCUUUUCCUAUUUAUCUCUUAAAGUCUAUUUUUUUUAAUGAUGGUUCACUAAUAGGGGAUUUUAGAUUCAUGGCACAAUUCAUUACUGGACUUGGCUUCAAAUGACCACUUUAAGAGCAUGAGUGACUCUAAUAUGUAAACAUUGUGUUACAUAAUAUCCUAAAUGUUUUAUAUGAUAAGUCUUUGUCCAUAUUUGAUCCAACAAGAAAAUAUAAGUUCACUAAUGUGCAACUAAAUAGUAAUUAUAGUAGUCUUUUGUGAUCGUGUUCUAUUUCAUGUUAGUGUUGUCAAAGGAAAAAUAUCAUUUUCUUAUAGUAGUUUUAUACUAUCUUCCAAGAAAGAACUUGGUUAAUGCCAUCAUAGGUUGAUGUUAAUUUAACAUUUGGAAAUCCACUUGACCACCAUUUGUAUCAGUUUCUGUUGCAAUUUGACUCAAAAAUUGAAGUUUGGAAAAAGUGAAGAAUCGUGACACGAUUCUUAUGGCGUGUCACAAUUUCUGAGGCAGAAUGUAAGGUUGAUCCUAGAGGCAAAUCGUGACACGAUUUAGGGGUUUUUUGAAGUAAUUCACGAAGAAAUCAUGCAAAUCGGUAAAUUAAGAACAUCUGAAGAAAUGUCAAGAUUUUGGGAAUACCAAGAAUGAAGGUUCAAGAGGCCUAUGAGACUUUACAUAGGGAGGAAUUUUGUUCCCAAGUUUUGAGGCAAGUCAUUUGAAGAAAAAGACCUAAAAACGACAAAAAUCAGAGAAAUUGGGCCCAAGAAGGAGCAACCAUGCGCCUAGGGCAUGAUAAUUGUGCAAUAUGCGCCUAGGGCAUAUAGAAUGUGCCUAGGGCAUCUUAAAAAAUGCACUGAAUACGCCUAGGGCAUGCUAUAUGCUUGCCGAUCAUCUUAAAUGUGAGGGGAGCAAGCGUAAUUUUAUUUUUUUUAGUGGGUUUAGCCCGCGUUCUUUGCCCAAACCUAGUUAGAAAUCUCCACUAUAAAUACUAGUCUUCCUCAUUCAGAACUGUGGCAGUUCAAGAGGAAUGCAACUUUAGAGCUUCGGGAGAUAAUCUAUAUUUUCCUUUAUUUUCUAGGGUAUGUUUUUAUCUUUAGUAAUUUGUUUUUAGUUACCAUGUGUAACUAAAUCUUUUUAGGUUAGAAUUCUAAGAUGAACCUCUGUCUCUGUUUAUUUUUGUUGGAUAUUUAUUUAAUAUUAUAUGUCGUUUAUUAUAUUUAUUUUUUUGUUCGCUAUUAAUUUCCUGAUUCAGUUAUUUAUUUCAAAGGAGUGUAACCCUAGAUUAGGUACUUAGGUUAUGACAGGGCCUAACGUUGUUAUUACUAUCUUUAUAGCAUUAUGCUAGUAACUAUAUGUCUAGGAAGUAAGUGAUUAUUAACUAGCAAAAAAUGCCGAAAGAAAGUUGACCGUAAUAGUAACUACUUAGGAGGUGACAUUACUAAGACUGAGUAGUAACGUUGCUUAACCUAGGAUGUAACUGGUUAGUAAAUAGGGAAACAAGCGUCUUCGGGGAAUAAGACUUUAUCGAAUCACUCUCUUGAAACCCUUAGUAAGGUAGACGUAGAUUAGGGCUGCCCGUUUGUAGAACUACUAUGAGCGUAGAGAGAGAGUGUGGUAUGAUUGUCUUAAGAUUCAUAGAUGGGCUGACCUAAGGGAACCUUGGCCUUCAUUGCCUUGGGAAACACUAGAACGCCAAUUUAAGUUUAUGUUUCCAUUACCUUUGAAUUAGCAAGACGCCGCACCUAAGGAUCACCAUGUGAUCAGCAGAUGCAGUUAGUCAUCGGAGGGAUAGACCAAUUAGGUUAGUAAUGUCUCAACGACCUCAUCACUUGUAUAGUCUACCUAAGAUAAAUAAUUGCGACAUUGUUGUUACUUAAUAUCCAACAAUAUAAACAGGGGGAAUUCGAAAAAUUCUAACCGCUGUUUAUUUUUCUGCAACCAAAACAGGUAAACUUGCUCUGUUGCAAACAGAUAAAAAUUGCAACCUUUCUAACCCUUUUAUCUUUUACAUCGUCAACUUACAAAAAUAAGUAACGUGAGUUUUUUUUGACGAAACGACAAUCUCUGUUGAUAUGAUUCUCUACUUUUCUCUUUAUUACUUGGUAAACGAUUUGCUACAUUUGCCAUAUCCGACCAUCACAGGGUAUGCAAACAUAGAUGCAUUAUUAUGCAAACUUGCCAUCAUGGAAGUUGGAAUACCAAAAGGUUGUUCCCUAGAUAGAUUAUGCAUGGUUAUGAACCUAUCAUCAAGUCUAGCCCUAACUUGAGGAGAAACAAGAAGGCUAGUAGACACAGGUACACCCGCAGUAAUGGAGGCACAAAGGUCCCCAUUUUUAGUUGUGUCACUACAACAACAAUUGUUGAAACGGUUGUAGGAGCAGUUACUCUCAUUUCCGUCAAAAUUUGCAUAGCCAUGGUUGCUCCCACGACCGUUGAUACACUAGCGCCCAUUGUAGGGGAAGAUGUCUGUGUAGAUUGUGCUUGUGAAGAGGACUAUGGUGAUUGUGAUGACGCAGAAGUACCAGUAUUGGUUGGUCUAGCCAUUUCUUUCAUAGUUUUACCACUUCUUAAAUGCAUGCACAAACAAAUGUAUUUUCAGAAGAAAAAAAAGUUCACCAAAACACUUAACAAUUUCUAAAAACGGUUUUCACAAGAACAGUUAGAAAAUAAUUUAAAAGUUAUGGAAGUUAUUUCCAAAAUUUUGCACAAACAGGGUCCUACUGGGCGUGCCAAUUUGUUUACUGAUGUUUUUGGUAAACAAGAAGGGCUGAUUUGGUUAUUACAAGCAGGAUCAAACCAGAAAUCCUAGGAUAUAUUGUGCAAAGUUUUUUCAGAAAGUGAGUGAGUGUUCAUCAGAUCCAUAAGUUGCUUUAUGAACAAGAUGAAUUUGUGUAGUGUCUUUCGAUAGAAAGAGUAACGAAAAUGCAAGUAAAAGACUUUAAAAGUUUAAAACGCAUAAACUUAAAGAAAAGGUAAAUUGCCUUGCAUUAAUGUAAAGGUGGUUCGACAAAUCAGAUUACAUACAUUUUGUAUGACUCUUUUCUUUAGACGCUGGUACUUCGAGUGCUAGAAUUCUAUAAGUGAUUUGUGACCCAUUUUCCAUAUGAAAAACUACUAUUUAUACAUAGUAAAAUAACUGAAAAAGGCUAACUGCUAUGAUCAGCACUUCUUCCAUCGAAAAUUGAUUGUCCCCCACGUCUUCACUAAGGCAACUGCUGCUUUUGAAUUUGAAUUAUUUCUUCUCCGACAGUAAUUGUUUGACUUCGACGAAUUUACGUCUUGACUCGCAUCUUGUCGAACUUAUAAACUUUUAGAAUCUUCCAAACGCUAAGCCCAGACUUUGUCAAAAUCCUCGUGUUGAAGCAACAAAAAAAAAAAUGAUUCCUGAAAAGACAAAAGUCAACAAAUGUUGACUGCAUUAAUUGAGCCUGUUGAAAUUGCAGGCUAACAAGGGGUUGUUCGGAUUAUAUAAUGCGAAAAAAAUCAAGGAACGAGCCUUAUUUUUUUUUUUAAGUUUUCGAAUUAUAAAAUCCGAAUUGGUGAAGAACUCAUUUUUCGCCCUCGAACAAAGAAAAAACUCAGCUCGAAUUUUAAAAUCCAAAAAUCACAUGGGCAUUUUUGAAAAAAUUACAACGCGCGUGAGAAUGAUAUAGGAUGAGAAAUGUAAUAGUCUCAAAAAAAAAAGUUUAGUUGGGUUGGUCGGGUUAAUUAGGGCUCUGACGGGUCCAAAAUAAACACCUGAACUGAACUUACCCAUAACAGCAUGUAACAAAAGUUUAGUAUUUUAGUUUAAUAUUUUAGUAUUUUUGUUUAAUAUUUUAGUCCCUAUUUUUAUUUUUUUAACAAAAGUUUACGUUUCGUGUUUAGAACGACUUCAGUUUUUAUUAAUUUAUCUAUAACUUUAAAUUAAAGAUUAAAUUUAAGGUUAAAUAGUAAUAUUAUUAAAAUAAUGAUAUUUUAUCAUCUUAUCGAUGAUAUGUCAUCAACAAAAGUCAUUUGAAUACAAAACAUGAACUUUUGAAAACAGAAAAUUUAGAGACAAAAAACGUAAGUAAUUUUUUUAAAAAACCAAAAUAGCCAACCGAACUAGCAACAUGGAGAAAUGGAUUUGAAAUCUUGAGAGGAGCGUCUCGGCCAACACCACCACAACAACCCAACUAUGGUUUUAAGGAAAUUUUUAGAGGACUAAAACUGAAGGUUAAUAUAUUUAUAGAGAAUAAAAACAUAUUUAAUAUUAUAUAAGGUCCAUAAGUUCUAGCUUAACUAACAAAAAUACCUAAAUUGAUAGGUCACAUGGUUUGAACAAAAAUAAAAAGAAUAAAAAAAUAUAACAAUAUUUCUAAAUUCCAAUAAGUGUUAGACAUAUCCUAAUAAAAACUUUUGUAUCCAAAGACAAUCAAUAAAUAAAUGGAAGUAUUACUAAUUUUAAAUCUACUCAUAAGAUGAGUAACACUACAUUAAUAAUUAUGCUAGAUCACUCAUCUAAAAAAAUUCUUAUAGACCACUUUCAAAUUCCUCAUUUUUUUUUUCAAUGUUCAAGUUUCAAAAUUCAGCAAAACCUACCAUCUAUAUCAAUACAUUGAUGUGAAUAUUAUAGUACAAAAUAAUUGGCAUUGAAUUAAUCUUUUUUUUUUUUUUAACAAAUCAAAAUGGAAUAAUUUUUUUUUUAUAAGCAAGGAACGUAGACAGACAUCAAGAGGCAUCAUCGACAUCCCAAUUAGGUUGGCACCUCGAGAGACCUCCAUCCUAUGCCGCCACACUCUAAAAAAUUUAUUAAAAAAGGGGAAAAAAUAAUUACCAAAGGAGGGGGACUAGACCAAAACCCUCAAAAAACGAAAAGAGAAGGAGACAGAAAAUAAACAGAAGAAACAAUAAAAAGCAAUCAAAAAACAUAUCAUGAGGAUCUGUAAUUUGGAAGUCCACAUCUAUCCCUAUAGAAAUCAAGCCUUAAAUCAAUAGGAAGAGUGUCUAGCCAAACUACACCAACACUGGAGUGACCCAUAGAAGCCAACUUAUCUACGCAGCUGUAUCCUUCACGAAAAAUGCGGGAAGAAAUAACCUAAACCUGUAAGUGUUGGGCAUAUACAUAAUUUUUUAAAGCAAUCCGAGAAUGUGUUGGGCAUAUACAUAAUUUUUUAAAGCAAUCCGAGAAUUAAAGUUACUGAUACCUCUAAUAUAAAUGAACAUAAAUGACAAGGUUCGGCUUAUAUAAAGAAAAGUUUAAAAGGAAAGUUUACAACUCACCGUCACCACUCUUUUUGAUAUAUAUAUAUAUAUAUAUAUAUAUAUAUAUAUAUAUAUAUAUAUAUAUAUAUAUAGCAUCACUUUUGUUGAAAUUAUAAAUUUUGAAUUCCAAUAGUAAAAGCCUCAAUUUUCUAUUCAAAAUAAAAGCCUUAACUUUAGCAUAUUUUAAAAUAAUAAUACUUAAAUAUUAUUUUGAUCCCUUCGCUUAUUUUAAAUAUUUAACUUGGUCUCUUAUGUUUAAAAUUGGUGAAUUGAGUCAUUUAACUUAUUUAUAAAGUUCAAUUUCGUCCCUUAAAACCGAUCAUUUUGGUCCUUUAACUUAUGUAAGUCAAUAGAACUUGGUACCUUAACUUAUAAAAAUAUACUAAUCACAUCCAUUUAUUUAGGGAUCAAAUUGCAUUAACUUACAAAAACUAAAAGAUCAAGUUGCACUAACUUACGUCCCAAAUUGAUUGUUAUCAAGUUGCACUAACUCAUCAUAAAAAAAUUGUUUUGUUUAAAUUUUAAAUUUUGAUAGUAGUCAUUAAAAAACCUCAAUUAUUUUAUUCAAAAUAAAAGCCAAAAUUUUGAAAAAUUCUAAAAUAAAAAUAUCAACAACAUGGGAAAAUCAUAUAAUUAUAUAAAUAGUAAUAACAACAAAACUUUUAAGAAAAAUUUAAUGAUACCCAAAAUUAAAUUUGAGCAAUAACCAGUGAUUCUCAAAUUCCAAUUUCACUAAUUUUCUACGAAGUUUUUAUUGCAAAAUAUUUGAAGUAUGUCAUGUCUUUUAAUAGCAUAAUCCACGUAAAUUCCUUUUAAUAACAAAAAUUAUUUAAUGCAUUAUAAUUUUAUAAAGAAUUUUUUUUUUUGACAAGCAAGGAGAGUGGACAAACAUCAAGCGGCAUCAUCGACAUCCCAACUAGGUUGGCACCCCGAGACACCUCCAUCCUAUGCCACCACACUCGAAAAAAUUUAUUAAAAAACGGGAAAAAAUAAUUACAAAAAGAGGGAGGACUAGACCAAAACCCUCAAAAGAAACAGUAAAAAGAAAACAGAGAAACACAAACACAAACAAAAGUCCUCCAAGAACAAAUCAAGGGAAUCUGUAGUUCGGAAUAUAAAGAAAAAUGUACACAUGAAAACUCUCUAAUGAUCAUUGCAUCAUAAUGAUUCUCGAGAUAUAACAUUUAAUGAAGUUGUAAAAAAAUCACAAUAAAUUUCUUUUUAAUAAAAGAAAAUUAUGGUGAGGGAAUGUUGACUUUGUAUAAGGUAGGGAAUUUUGAUUGAGCCAUGCUAUAUGGCACGGCACAACUCACCCACAAACACACACGACACAUUGAAAAACAAGUAACUUGCUUGGUAAAAUUAAAUCUAACACUUCAAUUGGCAAGACUCAAUUCACAUAACACUUCAUCUUGCUUUUUUACUGAAAAAAGUUAUUGGUUUUAUUGUUCCUAAUGAUUUGAAUUGUUUGGUCAAACAAAUUCACCAAAAAAAAUAGAAUCAAUUAACGAAACACCACAUUUUUAAAAAUGUCUAAUAAGCAUGUAUUUUGUCAACUCAAUAUGACACAUAAGUGUUUUUCAAUGGUUAAAUCUCAACAAAGACCAAAAAUGAAAGAAUCUGAAUUAAUACAGGUUUAAUAAAAAAAUAUGGUAUGAAAGCAAACAACUUGAAAAAAGUUAAAUUUAAUAUUUUACAAAACAAUUAGACUAAAUAAAAAAAACGCCACAUCAUUUUAAAAUUUCUAAUAAGAAUGCAUGCAUUUUACCAAAUAGAAGAACACAUCAACAUUUGUCUAUUGUUAGAGUCCACAAAAGAUCAAAAGUGAAUGAAUUUGAAAUAAUAUAGAUUGAAUAAAAAAUAAUAUGCAUGAAAGUGAAUGACAUCCAAUUACUAAAAUUUAAGAUAAAAAAAUUAAACAAAUGACAUCCAAAAACUAACAAAACAAUUAUCAUAAUGAUGGGGCUUUCGAAGGAUUCUAUAUUAGGAUGGAUGAUCAUACUAGACCAAUAGCAACCACAUAGGUGAUAUAAACAUCACAUCUUCACACAAAAUCUCAAAGCUAUAUGUAUAUGAGUCAUCUCACUUAUAUAUUGUUCAAAAUAUAUUCUUUCUUCCAAUAUGUAGACCAUUAACUCACACUUGAUACAUUAACAUCUUUUAAUCAAGUGUACGACUAUUUGUGUCUGUAAUUAUGUAACAUAAUCAUAUAAGUUCAACAAGAGUUACAACAUUUUCAAAAAGGUGGAUUGAUAGUAAUUUCUCAGAGCUAGGUUUAUGGUCCUUUUUUUUCUUGAGAAAAGAGAAAGAAAAUUAGAAGAAACAAAAUGAAUAAGAAAAAGAAAUUUAAACAUGGGAGAUAUUAUAAGGGAAAGAAAUAUGUAGUGUGUUUUGUCUAUGAGAUUGUAGGAAAUAGAGUGAGUUGCCAGUAUUUUUAUGGUUUCGAUAAAGGAGUUGGAGAUUUUUGGAUAAUUAUUUUACCAAAAAGUUAGACUUAAUUUAAAAAAAAAAAAAACACAUCAUUUUAAAAUGUUUAACAAACAUGUGUUUUGUCCACUUAGAAUAAACAUCUGCAUUUUCCGUUGUCACAUCCCACUAAAGAUCAAAACGGAAGCAAUUUAAAAUAAUACAGGUUGAAAAGACAAAAUAGCAUGAAAAAGAAUGGUAUCCAAAAAAUAAAAUUAAAGAUAUAAAUUGACAUCACAUCUUCCCCAUGACGACAUUAGUUUUUAAGUCUUGCCACUCAUUUUUCUCAACAUCUAAUCUUGCAUCCAAUAUAUUUUUGAUUAAUAUCUUGAAUCCAAUAUAGAAUGUUAACUCCAAUAUGACAAAUUAACAUCUCUCUAAAGUGUGAGACUAUAUGAAUCUGUGAUCUGUUGACAUAGCUAAAUAAGCUCAUACUGAGACACAACAUAGUAAAAAAAAAUGUGGGUUGGUGGUGGUUUCAUGGAGGAAGAUUUAUUUUAUUUUCUUUUUUUGACGGGAUGGAAGGAGAUUUAUGUUUCUUUCUUACAAGAAAAUAGAAAAAAUAAAGUAGAAAUAGAAAUAAGAUAAAAAAAAGUAUUUUAACAUGAGAUAAACGAUGAGGAAAAAAAGAGAGUGUGUGCUUUAUUCGUGAGUGAAUAUGAAAUAGAGUGAGUUGUUGAUAAUUUUACAGUUUUGUUGAAGGAGUUGGAGAUUUUGGGGUAGUUAUUUUAGCAAAAAAAACUUAUUAGACGAAUGCUAUAUCAUUUUAAAAUUUCUAAUAAACAUGUAUUUUUUCCACUCAGUCGAACAUAUCCACACUUUUCCAUUGUCAGACUCCACCAAAAACCAAACGUGAAGAAAUAUGAAAUAAUGGAAGUUGAAUAAAAAAAUAUAACAUGAAAGUGAUGACAUCCAAAAACUAAAAUUUAAUAUAAGAAAAAAUAAAUGACACUAAAAAACUAACAAAAAGUUCGUCAUAAUUUUGAGACUCUCAGGGGGCUUCUACAAUGAGUUUGAUCAUCGCAUUAGCCUAUAAACCAUGCAAGUGAGGUUCAUAGAUCUUAACCAAAAACCUUAAAACAUCAGAUAUAUGGGUCAUCUUAUUUAUAUGUUGUUUAAAUUAUACUCUUCCAUCAUAUAUAGAAUUUAACCCACAUUUCACACAUUAACAUCUCUUAAUCAAGUAUACAACUCUUUGCGUCUAUAACUAUGUGACAUAGUCAAAGAAAAGGUUAAACAUAAGCACAUGUUCAUAAAGGUUGGUUGGUGGUGAUUUUCUGAAGGAAGAUUUAUGUUCAUUUCUUUCAUGAGAAGAGAUAAAGGAAUUUAGAAUGAAAAAAUGAAUUUGAACAUGAGAGAAAAUAAGAGUAAAAAAUAAUUAUUGUGUAUUUUCUGUGAGAGCAUACAAAAUAGUGUGAAUUUUAUGUAAUUUUAUGGGUUUGUUGAUGGAGUUGGAGGUUUUAUAGUGAUUAUUUUAAAACAAAAAAAAAAAAUUAAACUCGGUUAAAAAAGCAUCACAUAAUUUUAAAUGUCUAUCAAGUAUGUAAUUUGUCAACUCUUGCAUCGGAUGCGGAACUUUCACCCACACUUGACCAUUUAACAUCUCUACAUUAAGUAUAACACUCUCCGCACUGUGAUCUACCACCAGGAAACACUCUCACUUGCCCACAAAGUUGAAUCUAAAUAUGAUACUACCGUUGGACUUUUUGAGGGAUCAGACACUUUUGUGGAUAAACCCAUUGGAGAGAGCAAUCACACAAGUGAGGGCAUUAAGUGUGAGGGUUUCUCACUUAUAUGUUGUUAAAUUUCACCACUUCUAUUCAACGUUGGAUUGUAACCGACAUUUGAUACAUCACAACAUUCUCUCUUUUAAGUAUGGGGAAAUUAAGAAAACAUGCUUUAGCAUCCACGCCUACAGGUGUUCACGGGAUGGGUCAGUUUUCAUUGUAAUAUAUAUUACCCGAUGCAAUCAAGUAUCAUUAGGUUGGAUCAAUAAAUAAUUACACGUAACUUUUUAAAGGGGUUAAUUAUAUGGAAAACAUUGUCGGCUUAUGUUAGAUUGAAGGGGUGAAUUGUAUUGAAUGUUGCAGCCAGCGGUAUAACGGCUCUUCUAUUAUCAUGUGGAAGAACCGCACACUUGAUGUUGACAGUCCCUAUCGAGAUUAAUGAGGCAUCAUCGCUUACGAUGAAAAAGGAUAGUCGUAGGGCAGACCUGGUGCGUGCUGCAAAGUUGAUAAUUUGGAAUGAGGCUCUAAUGAUGCACCAAUGGUGUUUUGAGGCAGUUGACUCAUCAAUGCAUAUAUUGCUUGUUGUCCGAAAAGGAACGAGGCAGGAUAUUGUUGAUGCCUCAAUCAAUUCAUCAAAGAUAUGAGCUUAUUGUAAUGUGUUAAGGCUUAUUGUUAAUAUGAGAUUGGGUGCAUCUUCGAUACCUGUAGAGCAGGAAGAAAUUGCUAAUUUUUGCAAGUGGAUACUCUCAAUUGGAGACGGCAACGACGCUUCAGAUGAGAAUGGUAAAAUGAAGGUAGAAAUUCCUGAAUAUUCGCUCAUAUUGGACACAACAAAUCCGUUGAUGUCACUUAUAGACUUUGUGUAUCCCGAUUUGAAUGAUAACCUUGGUGACCCGCUAUUUUUCCAAGAAAGGGGAAUACUCGCUCCAACGCUUGAUUCAAUUGAGCAUGUUAACGAAUAUAUGAUGUCACUGAUUCCAGGUGAAGAGAAAGAGUAUUUAAGCUAUGAUUUUGUUUGUCGAUCGGGUGAAAAUUUUGAUGUCCAAAGUGAGUGGUUCACAACGGAAUUUCUUAAUGGUAUUAAGAGCUCUGGAAUUCCAAAUCACCGGUUGAAACUAAGGGUGGGAUGUCCAGUUAUGCUGAUGAGAAACAUCGAUCAGGUCAAUGGACUGUGUAAUGGUACGAGGCUAACAGUUACACAUCUAGGGAAGACCACGAUUGCUGCUAACGUAAUUACAUGAAAAAGGGAAAGUACCAGGGUGUUCAUUCCUUGGAUGAAUCUUAUUCUGAGUGAUCCAGGACUACCCUUCAAAUUCAGGCGCAUGCAAUUUCCAUUGACGUUUUGUUUUGCAAUGACGAUAAAUAAAAGUCAGGGUCAAUCUUUAUCUCGAGUGGGAGUUUAUCUUCCUAAGCCCGUGUUCACGCAUGGACAACUCUAUGUCAUUGUCUCUCGAGUUACUUCUAGAAAAGGUUUGAAGCUGCUCAUCUUGGAUGAAUAUAAUAAUGUUUGCAAGGAGACCACAUAUGUUGUGUGUCGUGAAGUUUUUCAAAAAGUAUGAUCAUUGGUUAUGUUUUAGAAUUGUUGUUGCUAUAAUUUAGAAAACUAAAGUUGUGCAUUGUUUGGAAGUCAUUUUUUUAAUUUCUUUGUAAGGCGUACUGGUCAUUACAGGACAUGCAAUUUCUAUAUAAGCAGAUCCUCCUGCCAUUGACUUUUAAAUGAUGCACUUUUCAGGUAUAACAAUACGCGAAACUAUUUUUUUUUUACAUCGUUGUUAACCUAAAAUACAAUAUUUGCAUUAGACCAUUGAUUUUGUAAUAAAACAAAUAACAAUCGGCGUUUCAGUAGCCCAAACUUAUACACACCCGUAAAAAAUUUAACGUUUGCAUUCACAAAUUAGGUGUAUACAUCUUGUGCUCGUGAUUUUCGGAUAUCAAACCAUUAAUUGAUUUAAAUCGUCAAUCUUUGAACUCUCGAUUUUUAUUCGUGGGAAGGGAAAAAAUGAGUAAAAACCCUUAUCGAGACUUUGGAUUCGGGGGUUGGUUACAUGAAGGGAAGGUGCUAGCACCCUAAGCGUCUACGGUAUUCCGUAGGAACCUCUUACCUAAUUUACCUUGUGCUAAAUUGAUUUGCUUAUUUGAAAAUUAUUACCUAAAAGUCUAAGUGAAAGAAUGGAGGGAGAAGAAGUAUGUUUUUGGUUAUUUUUAUUUGAAUUGGAAGGAUAAAAAUCCUAUGCCUACAUACCCUUAAAGAAAAGGGAUCAAAACCAAUGUAGUUCACCUAAAAAGUUUCUUUUUGGUGGGUUAGGUUGAUUUUAAGAUUUUUUUGAAAAUGAGUUUUUAGAAGAGAAAGAGGCCUCAAGGCAUGAGAUAAAAUAAGGUGAGGUUGGUCAAAUUUUAAUUACAAAGAAAUCAAGUCUAUUAUGAAUAUUAAUUCAAUUAAGCAUUUGAUUAAGAAAAUAAAAAGGAAAACACUUGGGUUACAAACCAAGGUUUAUUAAGAAAAUACUUUUGGAGUUUUGCAUAUUUGAUUUUUUUUGAAAAAAAUAUAUUUUUUAAACUAACAGUAAAACUAGCAUAACGGCAUAACGUCACAAGAAGUAAACGUGAAGUGUCGGUGCAUGUGUCGGUGCGUUGUGUUAUUACAUAUCAAUUCCUAGAUACAUUCUAUGGUCUCAAGAGAAAUAUAAUAGAAGAAAUAAAACGCGCAAAAUAAAUUACAUCAAUUUCCUAAUUAUACACGCUAAAUAAUACCAAUAAAAUAAAAUGACAAAGUUAAACAUGCAUGAGAUGAUUCAAAUAUACUAUAUCAAUAAUAUAAUGAAAAUAAAAUAACAAAACAGUAAAUAGACAAUCAACACAAAGCAAAAUAUUUUUGUAAACUUUUGGAGUAAUUUUUUUUGUAAGUGAAGGAGGUGCAGAAAGUAAAAACAAAGGUGUAAAAAGGAAAACAGUAGUGAAAUUUAAAAACAAUUGGGCUCAGACUGGAUAGAUAUGGACCGUCUGAUGAAUCCGAAGGUCUAGAUCUAAUCACAGGAAGUCUCAUCACAGCCACUGGAUCAGUGAUCCAACGGUUUAAAAAAAAACAGCACAAAAGCAUAGAAAUAACACAGGAGGCACAGUGACCAUCUGAUCAUGGAACUAUCCAGAUCCAACUGCUAGAAACAACAAGGCACAUGGAAUGGGAUAAGAGAAAUAACAUGGGAAAAUAAAAGGAAUAGAGACUAUAAAACGUAAAACAACAGCAUAUUACUCAUUUGGUUUCUUCUCUUCUCUUUCUAAACACAAAUGCUUCCUUCUCUCUACACUCAAAAACAACACCGCCCCCUUAUAUCAUCUUCUCCGGCGAGACAGUGUUUUCCGGCGCGAUGGCCGGUGGUGGCACCACCGCGCCGGAGUUUCAAACUCCUCUAAAUCAAAAAAGUUUUUACGUUUUUAAACAUCCUUUUCUUCAUACUUUUCGAAAAUCUACUUAGUUUUCACAAACAAACAACCAAAACUUCUAGAUCUAAACUUUAAAGAUCGGUUUCAAACUUUUUCCAUCUCUCAACCGUUUUCCAAAAAAAGAAACUCACAUCUCAUACAGAUUUAGGAAGUAAAAUGCAAAGGAGAAGAAAGAACAAAGUGAUACUGGUUACCUCUUUAGAUCGGUUACGAUCUUGGAGGUUAUACUUCUGAGAAAAAUAAAAAAACGUUCUUCCUUGCUCAAAACGGUUCGGAUUUAUUUCGAUUCACGCUCCAUUUUGAUCCGAUUCACGCUCCAAUCUCCUUCUCCAAUUCCGGUUGAAUUAUGGCUUGAAUGUGUUGGAUUUACGGUUCCGUCGAUUUGGUUGUGUUGUUAAUUUGGAAUCUUUUGUAUUUUUUGUGGUGAAAUCAUGAUGCUGGAAUUUUAGUGUUCAUAGUGUUCUUGAGAAACUAGAUGAUUUUUUGUGUCUGAUUUUAGAAAUCGGAGAGAGAAAUGAAAUUAGGGUUGGGGUGUUGACUGCUGCGGCUGAAGAAGUCUCUGUGUAAGUUUGUGCGGCUAGGGUUUGCUCAUCCUCCUUCUCUUUUUUUGCAGGUUUUAAUUUAUACCACUAGGGUUGAAGGGAAAAAGGAAACAACAUACUGGAUUUGGAAACAAAAGUUUGACAAUCUGCCUGAAUAUGAGGCGUGUAAAAAAUAUUUUUUGGACCCCUGCUGAGAUUUUUCUGACUCAUUGACAUUAUAGCACAAAACAAAAAUAAACUAUUAAAUAUAUAAAAAGAGUAACUAAUUUUAAAAUUAAAACUAAUAAAAGAUGGAAAUUAAACACUGAAAUAAAAAGAAAAUAAAGAGGAAAGAGGGCCCGGCUCGGAAUACUUCUCUGCCGAAAUUUCGUCUGAAACGACGAAAAUUCCCGACUUUAAAAAUAUGAAUAAAAUGGGUAAGAAUAGAGAAAAGUGGUCAAAAUUUGGGGUAUGACACAUCUGAAGUUGACUAUUAUAUAAAAAAAAAUACAAUUUUUUUUGUUUUUAUGAUUAAUAAAAUACAUUAUAUCAACAAAUAAUAAUAUACAGUACUUCGGCGUAUUUUUGCAAAAAUAUUACAUAUGUUAAGUUUAACAAUGAGUACAUCUUAUAGUACAAAUAAUUAGUAUAAGUAUAAAUCCAAUACUUUAAUCGUUAUGUGCAAUGUUUAGAUAUUUCAAAAUAUAUACAAAAUUAACAAGAUGAUAUUUUUUUCCAUAUCAAAUUUAAAUUAUAACCACAGUUAUAACUUUAAGAUAACAUAAUAUAAAAUAUAUUAAAAAGUGUUUUAUUUCCGUGUUUGGCACGGGUCACUAUACUAGCAUCAAGUGAAACUUGACCCAUGUAUAAUGUGUUAUCCACUUCUUAUUAUUAUUAUUAUUAUUUUUUUUUAGAAAUGCUAUGGACAAACUCUCAAGCACACUCUUUUGAACACACCCUCAAUCAUUGGUCCACAUCACCCCUUUUUUAAAAUCACUUAACUGGAUACUAGCUUAGCCUAUAAGUAAAACAAGGUUAAUCGUUCUUUACCCCCUGUAAUAUAGGUCAUUUUUUGUUUUCCCCCUUGUAAAAUAAUUUUUUUGAUUUACCCCCCUAUAAUUUUUUUUUAAAAAAAAUAUUAUACAGGAGGUAAAUAAAAAAAAAUAUUUUACAGGGGAAAACAAAAAAUGACCUAUAUUACAGGGGGUAAAACACCAUUAACCCAUAAAACAAGAGAAUUGCUGUUCCCACAUUACAUAAGGCUGUGCCACACGAAUAAAUGACGUUUUUGCUCCUGCGGUAGUUAACUACUGAAGUUUGGAACCGGCUGCAGUUAACUACCGAAGUUUCUUCGGCAGUUAACUGCCGACGAAAAACGAUAAAAAAAAAAAAAAAAAACCUCGGCACUUAAGUGCCGAAGAACUCAUAAUAUUUUUUUUUUCAAGAUUCUCUUAGCAUAAGUGAAAGAUAAAAAGUUUAUUAUUUGGCCCAUGCUUGCUGAAUGCAGACAAAUCUUUAUAUAUAUGAUAUUUUAAUUUCUUUGCUUGUUUUUGAUGAUAGACCCUACUUUCUUUGUCAUUCAUCAUAUACGUGCUAUUUAUUUGGACAUAAAUUAUCUUUAUUUGUUUACGAGUUUUUUUCAUUAAUUAUGGUGUAUGCAGGAAGCUGGAGUUCAUGUAAUAUGUACCUUGAUAAAAAAAAAAAAAAUUUAUGAGUUCUUCGGCACUUAAGUGUCGAGGUUUUUUUUUUUUUUUUUUUUUUCGUUUUUUCGUCGGCAGUUAACUGUCGAAGGAAGGAAUUUCGGUAGUUAACUGCCGCCAGUUCCAAACUUCGGUAGUUAACUACCGCAGGGGCAAAAACGUCAUUUACACGUGUGGCAUAGCCUUAUGUGAUGUGGGAACAACAAUUCUCAUAAAACAAACUGUUCUAAUAAACUUCAUCCUUUCCCAACCCACCGUCAAUGACCUUCUUUGUUCCGAAUUUCCACCUAACCAUUAACACCUCUUGAAUAUCAAUUUUUGAUCAAUUUCAUUCAGUUUUCCUGAGAGGUUGAAAGGUACCACUGAUGUUCUUUUUGAGCGAUGACAAAGUGUUCGAAAUAAUUUAAAUCUUCAAUUACUCGUGAUGCUUGUCAAAUACAGGAAUUCAUGAGAAUAGCACAUAACCUAUUUUAUUUAACUAGGCAAAACAUUUAACCAUCGACUCUAUGACAUAACCAUAAAUUGAAUAGUGUCUUGUGGGUCUAUGGGUAAAGAGAAAUCGUGUUGUGAAGAUAAGCAUUUUUUUUUUUUUUGGUCAAGUAGCCUAGAAGAUAAGCAUUUUAGUGUGUUGCUUUUGUAAUACAUACAAGUGCUUCUGGUUCAGCUUUGUUUUUUCUACUAUUGAUUUGGUGUCGACUUCUUAUUUGUUCUCCAUGUCCUUUUACAAGUAGUUCUAGGCUUCUAGCAUCCAAAAAAACCAUGUUUCCUUCCUUUUUUUUGAAGAAACAAAAAUGGUAUAUAUUAACAAAGGCGGUAAAACCUCCUAAGUACAAGAUGUACUAAGAAGUCACCCCUCAAAGAGUCAAACAAAUGUAGUAAUUACAAUAAACCGGGUGCGUCGAUACCUAAACAAAGCAUAGGAUCCGACCACCACCUUUGAGAACCGUACACAAAUGUGGCUUUACUAGCUUUUAGCCACCAUAAAGAGUGUAAUUUUACUUUUUCUGAUAAGCCUUCAAUGGAUGUUUGGGUAUUAUUAAAAAGUCUGUUGUUGCGUUCAUUCCAAACCAUCCACACACAAAGUAACCAAAUGAGCUGCAGAAAGGAUCUACGCGCCCUCGUAUGACCCGUACUAGUAAUAAACUGAAUAAAGUGGUCACUAAGAUCAUGGGAAUCAGCUUCGGACACGCCAAUCCACGUUUCAACUAUACGUUUCAACAUCAGAAGAAUAAGAAGACCAAGUUUUAGUCAAGAGUAGAUUAUUUAUCCUUUAGAUUGUACAAUGCAUGUUCAAUCUCUGUGGUUGUGAAUUUUUAAUGAUUUUAAGAACAAUCUUAAGUACUAAGUUAAAAGUUAGGCUCAUCACUAAAUGUUACAGCAAAAACAGGACUUUCCAUCUAUAUAAUUUCUUUCCAUUAUAAAAUAUAUAUUUUGAUAAUCCAAACCUAUACUUCACAUGUUAUUGUUGGUGCUCCCCAAGUAUACCUGUCCGUAAUUGUCGGUUAAUGUCAUCAAAUUGGUCUUAAGUAGACGAAAUUGAUUGCAUUGCUCGACAUAUAUGUGUCAAUCUGAUGUAACCUAUAAUGGUGUGGUCUAACGUGAUCGUGCUAAACUUUUGUCGACUAGAAUGCAUGUUCACUCUGCUUAAUAUAUUGACAUCUUCAUUCACACUUGUGUUAUAUCAAUCUUUGCUUUUAGUCUCAGUAUAUUUUUGUUUUGCAUUUAGUCCUUUUUUGGCUUUAAUCUUUCAAAUAUUUGUCUAAUGUUUGGUAGGGAGCUUCUAUGAUGAACUCAGGAAAAUGACUUCUUCGGUGAAGUCGUUUGAAUGGGCCAAUCAGAUUUUAAAUGAUGACACGUCAAAAACCCUAAUCAUGUUCCAGUGUAGUGCGGUCUACGGUAGCGUAAGUGAAGGAAAACUUUAUUUUAUGAUUUUAAUGGUUAGAUUUACUUGAUCUCUAUGUUAUUGUGGUACACCAUCUACACAUGAUUUUUCUUCUAGUACCAAUUUUCUCUCCUCUUUAUUUUUCUUUCUUUAUUUAUUCAUAUUCUCUCUCUUCCAGAUUUUUAUUAAAUCAACAUCUUCAUCUUUCCUUCAUCUUCUUCGUAUCAUAUCUUCAUCAACUUAUUCAUCAUCUUCAUGAGAGAAAAAAUAAAAAAAACCCAAAAAAAAAAAAAAAAAAUGAAAUUACAUAAUAAAAAAAAAUGUAGAUAUAACAUGCUUAUAUAUAUUAUAUAUAAUAUAUUUCGAUUUUAGACAUUAAAAGAUAGAUGAUAUGGUGGUUACAAUUUUGAUUUUGCACACCUACUUCCCUCUCAAAGCUCAGACCUCCCUCCCAUUCAACACUUCUUUUUGAAUUAAAUUAAAAAUAAAAUACUUUAUACUCAAUAUCUUAAAUUGUUUUAAAUUUUGCAUAAUUUUUUUUAGAAUAUUAUAGGUUGCACACAAUAUUAUGGAAACUUAUUUAUCUUAUACAAUUUUAAAAAAUGUUUAUAAUUAAUAAAAUAUAUUUAAUCACUGUCUAAAAAAUUAUAUUUAAAUAAAACAUAUGAUAAUAAUUAUCUUAUAUUAAAGAUAUGAAUAAUAUUUAUCUUUUUUUUCCAUGAUUCAACCACAUACAAUUAAUGCCUAAAAAAAUGUCAAUCUCUUACUCUCCAAAUUAACUUGUCAUUAUUUAAUAUAAAAUCUUUUUUUCAAGAAAAAGACUUCCUUUUAAAAAUUUAAAAGUGUAUAAUAUAUAAAAAAAACUUAUGCAUUAAAGUAAAUUUUUGUGUGAUGUUUUUGAUUUUUUUUUUUUUUUUCUGAAACGUAAGAUGUUUUCGAUAUCGUUAUUAACGCAAAUUUCCGAGCUAAUUAGCCAUUUUCGAUACUGUUUUUAAAUAAAUUUUCGAUGCCAAUAUUUCUUCUUUAAAAAAAUAUAAUAAUUUUUAUUCUGCAAUCACACUUAAUACGUAUUUAAUGCUAGCUGUAUAAAUUGAAUCACACUUAAUACGUUUUUAAUGCUUUUUUUUUAAGAAGAAACGGAAAUGCUAGUUUUUUUUAGGGCGUUUUAAUGGUAAUUAUUACUUAUUAGUACGUUUUUAAUGUUAACAUUUUCCUAUUAAGCCAAAAAAAUAAGUUAGAGUACCUAAGGUUCAAUUAAGCCUAAAAACUAUUAAGACGAAAAUGAUGAUUAUAUAAAUUGUUUUAAAUUAAAAUUGAAAAAAUGGAUUGGGUUAAAGUCACCAUGUUUACGAUAAUUAUAUUUUUCCUCUCAAUUCACGUCGUUGAUACUUUAACCAAUAUUGUUGCCCCAUAAACGAGUACUCGCUGAACCAAUAACAUGAUGGACAUACUAAUUUUCAGCCUGACCACAUCACUUCUUUUGUGCAUCUAUCAUAGAGAUUUGUCGUCUCAAUUUGAUAAAAAAAAUUACUUUUUAAUUGCUGGAAAUUAACUAAAAGCAUAGCUGCUCUUGAUUCAAUCUGUAUAAUUCUGCAACUAAUCCACUGAGAGUAUAUAUUGUCGCAUAGCAGCCGCAAUUAACACUCUACUUGUCCAUCAAGAGUUGGAUUUAAAUUAGGGUAAUUGACUUUUGUGUUGAUUAGAAAAUGGAGAUGAAGAAAAUAUUGAGAUUCAUGUUAUUUGGAGAUGUAUUUGAGUAGUUAUUUUGUUUUUUGUUCAAUAAAGAAGAUGAUGAAGGUAUGAAGAUGGCGAUGAUGUUCAUAAUCUUCCUUGGUUUAUUUAUUUUUAAUAAUGAAAUAUUUUUUUAUAAAAAGGUUUAUUUAAAUAUUUUUUGAAAUAGAAGGAAGAAAAAAUCAAAAAGGAGAUUAUGAACACAAUAACACUAGUGAAUUGCUUAAUCUGAUAGUUCAAAAAAGCUAGUCUACGGUGGUACAUAUUGAGCAGAUACACGGUAUAUACCAUACAACAGUCAACACACAUGACAUCAUUCAACAAUGUGGCGCAUUAUUAUUGGAUGUAGGAUAACUUCUCUGAAAAAGUCAAUUUAAUGACUUCACCAUAGAAUUUUCCAUGUUUGGAAUUAGACCUUAUAUACUCCAUAUAAUUUAGGUACUAAGAUCAAUAAGGUCUACAUAUUACAAGACUUUAAUCAACAAGAACUAAAAUUAAAAUAACAAGGACCAAACACAAAAUUGUGUACGAAUCACGGACUAGAAAAACAAAUUACAAGGACUAAAGGUGAAAUUGAAAUAUUUAAGGAUAUCUAUCCCUAUCACGAUAUUUAAAUACCUUCUUGAUAUUUCAGUUAAUACAUUUCUUUAUCCUUUAUAGCUAAUGAUAUUCUACCACUUUUUUUUGCACUUGAUACAAGUUAUGCGAGUCUGUUUUGUCCACUUUCUCCAUCCCUCUCUAUCAAAAUGAUAUAAAAGGAAGGCGAGCUUGCUUCUUAUUAUCGUGUUCGAUCUCACCACGAUCAUCAAUCGACUCCACACACAGUAAUAAAACCUUUUUCAACUUUGAUAACUACUUAUAUGUUUAUUCAGUUAUGCGAUUCUAACCAACCAGUUUUGUUCUAGGUGAUUCUGUAAUAAACUAUUCCACCUGAUACUCAAUGGACAUCACCAAACCAUAGGUGGUUGCACCUUAUGGUGCUUGUGAUGAGUGACCUAACCUUAUUGUAAUGUACAUUAUAACCUUCUCGUGUUGCAAAUAGAUGGAGAUUCACCUUCUUCGAUGAUGGUGUCUUUAUGCCUUAAUUUCAGUGCUAACGGGCGUCUAUCAUGCAGAACUUAGUGUACAGGGUUUGAUAUCUAUUAUGUACCUUGAGGAAAGGUUCACUUGUUGUGAUAUAUAUUGUGAAGCCAUGUUGAAUGUUUGUAAAUUAGAAGAUGCCCAGGUUGGCAAAUUAGAAGAAAAAUGUGUCAUCACUUGUGGCAACUUCAGACCCUUUUUCCUCAAUUCUCUUGUUUUUUUUAACCACUUUUGUUAUGCCUUGUCUUCAAGUUCC